rnacentral:rRNA from 1 species
GUCCACGCCCUAAACGAUGUCGACUAGGUGUUGGGGAAGCGAUUCCUUGGUACCGUAGCUAACGCGUGAAGUCGACCGCCUGGGGAGUACGGCCGCAAGGUUAAAACUCAAAGGAAUUGACGGGGACCCGCACAAGCGGUGGAUGAUGUGGAUUAAUUCGAUGCAACGCGAACAACCUUACCUACCCUUGACAUGUCCGGAAGCCUGCUGAAAGGCGGGGUGCCCGAAAGGGAACCGGAACACAGGUGCUGCAUGGCUGUCGU